AUUGAACGCUGGCGGCAGGCCUAGCACAUGCAAGUCGAACGGUAACAGGAAGAAGCUUGCUUCUUUGCUGACGAGUGGCGGACGGGUGAGUAAUGUCUGGGAAACUGCCUGAUGGAGGGGGAUAACUACUGGAAACGGUAGCUAAUACCGCAUAACGUCGCAAGACCAAAGAGGGGGACCUUCGGGCCUCUUGCCAUCGGAUGUUCCCAGAUGGGAUUAGCUAGUAGGUGGGGUAACGGCUCACCUAGGCGACGAUCCCUAGCUGGUCUGAGAGGAUGACCAGCCACACUGGAACUGAGACACGGUCCAGACUCCUACGGGAGGCAGCAGUGGGGAAUAUUGCACAAUGGGCGCAAGCCUGAUGCAGCCAUGCCGCGUGUAUGAAGAAGGCCUUCGGGUUGUAAAGUACUUUCAGCGGGGAGGAAGGGAGUAAAGUUAAUACCUUGGCUCAUUGACGUUACCCGCAGAAGAAGCACCGGCUAACUCCGUG
rnacentral:rRNA from 1 species